CGUGCAGACGGCUGGAUCAGUCUGAUGUGAAAGCCCGGGGCUCAACCCCGGAAGUGCAUUGGAAACUGUCCAGCUUGAGUACCGGAGAGGAGUGGGGGAAUUCCCGGUGUAGAGGUGAAAUUCGUAGAGAUCGGGAGGAAUACCAGUGGCGAAGGCGCCCAUCUGGACGGAUACUGACGCUGAGACGCGAAAGCGUGGGGAGCAAACA
rnacentral:rRNA from 1 species